rnacentral:rRNA from 1 species
UGAGCUUGAUCCUGGCUCAGGAUGAACGCUAGCGGCAGGCUUAACACAUGCAAGUCGAGGGGUAUAGUUCUUCGGGACUAGAGACCGGCGCACGGGUGCGUAACGCGUAUGCAAUCUACCUUUUACAGAGGGAUAGCCCAGAGAAAUUUGGAUUAAUACCUCAUAGCAUAGCAGCUUCGCAUGAAGCCACUAUUAAAGUCACAACGGUAAAAGAUGAGCAUGCGUCCCAUUAGCUAGUUGGUAAGGUAACGGCUUACCAAGGCUACGAUGGGUAGGGGUCCUGAGAGGGAGAUCCCCCACACUGGUACUGAGACACGGACCAGACUCCUACGGGAGGCAGCAGUGAGGAAUAUUGGACAAUGGGCGCAAGCCUGAUCCAGCCAUGCCGCGUGCAGGAUGACGGUCCUAUGGAUUGUAAACUGCUUUUGUACGAGAAGAAACACUCCUAUGUAUAGGAGCUGACGGUAUCG